GAUGAAGAACGCAGCGAAAUGCGAUAAGUAAUGUGAAUUGCAGAAUUCAGUGAAUCAUCAAAUCUUUGAACGCAUCUUGCGCUCCUUGGUAUUCCGAGGAGCAUGCCUGUUUGAGUGUCAUUUUGAACUCUCAAAGCCCACGUUUUGACGUGGCUUUGGACUUGAGGGCUUUUGCAGGCUUUUGAUUCAGAAAGCCUGCUCCCUUGAAAAUCAUCAGUGGUAUCUGGAGCGGAAACCGCUAGGUGUUGAUAACAUUCAUCUAUGCCUUUGGGUAUGCCGCGUAAAAUGUGCUGCUUCCAACCACCCCAUGCUCUUUGACAAACUUGACCUCAAAUCAGGUGGGACUACCCGCUGAACUUAAGCAUAUCAAUAAGCGGAGGA
rnacentral:misc_RNA from 1 species